rnacentral:rRNA from 1 species
GAUGAACGCUGGCGGCGUGCCUAAUACAUGCAAGUCGAGCGAACGGACGAGAAGCUUGCUUCUCUGAUGUUAGCGGCGGACGGGUGAGUAACACGUGGAUAACCUACCUAUAAGACUGGGAUAACUUCGGGAAACCGUAGCUAAUACCGGAUAAUAUUUUGAACCGCAUGGUUCAAAAGUGAAAGACGGUCUUGCUGUCACUUAUAGAUGGAUCCGCGCUGCAUUAGCUAGUUGGUAAGGUAACGGCUUACCAAGGCAACGAUGCAUAGCCGACCUGAGAGGGUGAUCGGCCACACUGGAACAGAGGAACGGUCCCGACUCCUACAGGGAGCAACAGUAGGGAAUCUUACGGAAUGGGGGAAAGGCUAACGGAGCAAAGCCGCGUGAAUGAUGAAGGACUUCGGAUGGUAAAACUCUGUUAUUAGGGGAGAACAUAUGUGUAAGUAACUGUGCACAUCUUGACGGUACCUAAUCAAAAAGCCACGGCUAACUACGUG